rnacentral:rRNA from 1 species
GACGAACGCUGGCGGCGUGCUUAACACAUGCAAGUCGAGCGGAAAGGCCCUUCGGGGUACUCGAGCGGCGAACGGGUGAGUAACACGUGAGUAAUCUGCCCUUCACUCUGGGAUAGCCACCGGAAACGGUGAUUAAUACCGGAUACGACCAAUCCCUGCAUGGGGUGUUGGUGGAAACUUUUUUGGGUGGGGGAUGUGCUCGCGGCCUAUCCGCGUGUUGGUGGGGUAAUGGCCUACCAAGGCUUCGACGGGUAGCCGGCCUGAGAGGGUGACCGGCCCCAGUGGGACUGAGACACGGCCAAGACUCCUACGGGAGGCAGCAGUGGGGAAUAUUGGACAAUGGGCGGAAGCCUGAUCCAGCAACGCCGCGUGAGGGAUGACGGCCUUCGGGUUGUAAACCUCUUUCAGCACCGACGAAGCGCAAGUGACGGUAGGUGGAGAAGAAGGACCGGCCAACUACGUGCCAGCAGCCGCGGUAACAC